rnacentral:tRNA from 1 species
AGAAGUUUAGGUUAAAAUGAGACCAAGGGCCUUCAAAGCCCUAAGCAAGUACAAAUUACUUAACUUCUG